ACUCCUACGGGAGGCAGCAGUGGGGAAUAUUGCACAAUGGGGGGAAACCCUGAUGCAGCCAUGCCGCGUGUGUGAAGAAGGCCUUCGGGUUGUAAAGCACUUUCAGUAGGGAGGAAGGUAGUGUAGUUAACACCUGCAUUAUUUGACGUUACCUACAGAAGAAGCACCGGCUAACUCCGUGCCAGCAGCCGCGGUAAUACGGAGGGUGCGAGCGUUAAUCGGAAUUACUGGGCGUAAAGCGUGCGCAGGCGGUCUGUUAAGCGAGAUGUGAAAGCCCCGGGCUCAACCUGGGAACUGCAUUUCGAACUGGCAGACUAGAGUCUUGUAGAGGGGGGUAGAAUUCCAGGUGGUAGCGGUGAAAUGCGUAGAGAUCUGGAGGAAUACCGGUGGCGAAGGCGG
rnacentral:rRNA from 1 species